rnacentral:rRNA from 1 species
AUUGAACGCUGGCGGCAGGCUUAACACAUGCAAGUCGAGCGGGGGAAGGUAGCUUGCUACUGGACCUAGCGGCGGACGGGUGAGUAAUGCUUAGGAAUCUGCCUAUUAGUGGGGGACAACAUCUCGAAAGGGAUGCUAAUACCGCAUACGUCCUACGGGAGAAAGCAGGGGAUCUUCGGACCUUGCGCUAAUAGAUGAGCCUAAGUCGGAUUAGCUAGUUGGUGGGGUAAAGGCCUACCAAGGCGACGAUCUGUAGCGGGUCUGAGAGGGUGUACCGCCGAACCGGGACGGAGACACGGCCCGGACUCCUAGGGGAGGAAGCAGUGGGGAAUAUUGGACAAUGGGGGGAACCCUGAUCCAGCCAUGCCGCGUGUGUGAAGAAGGCCUUAUGGUUGUAAAGCACUUUAAGCGAGGAGGAGGCUACUCUAGUUAAUACCUAGGGAUAGUGGACGUUACUCGCAGAAUAAGCACCGGCUAACUCUGUGCCAGCAGCCGCCGUAA